rnacentral:sRNA from 3 species
UAUUCUGCCCUACGGGGAAGGAUGAGAAGCUUCGACUAAGGUUCGACUCGAGCGUAGCGAGAGAACGUUGCCGCAGGCAACGGCCCGAAGGGCGAGGCGCGUUAGCGCCGAGUCAUCCUUCCCCCACCACCA